rnacentral:rRNA from 1 species
AUUGAACGCUGGCGGCAGGCCUAACACAUGCAAGUCGAACGGUAACAGGAAGAAGCUUGCUUCUUUGCUGACGAGUGGCGGACGGGUGAGUAAUGUCUGGGAAACUGCCUGAUGGAGGGGGAUAACUACUGGAAACGGUAGCUAAUACCGCAUAACGUCGCAAGACCAAAGAGGGGGACCUUCGGGCCUCUUGCCAUCGGAUGUGCCCAGAUGGGAUUAGCUAGUAGGUGGGGUACGGCUCACCUAGGCGACGAUCCCUAGCUGGUCUGAGAGGAUGACCAGCCACACUGGAACUGAGACACGGUCCAGACUCCUACGGGAGGCAGCAGUGGGGAAUAUUGCACAAUGGGCGCAAGCCUGAUGCAGCCAUGCCGCGUGUAUGAAGAAGGCCUUCGGGUUGUAAAGUACUUUCAGCGGGGAGGAAGGGAGUAAAGUUAAUACCUUUGCUCAUUGACGUUACCCGCAGAAGAAGCACCGGCUAACUCCGUG